rnacentral:rRNA from 1 species
UCAUGGCUCAGAUUGAACGCUGGCGGUAUGCUUAACACAUGCAAGUCGAACGCGAAAGCCCUUUCGGGGGUAAGUAGAGUGGCGGACGGGUGAGUAAGGCAUGGGAAUCUGCCCUAUAGCGGGGGAUAACUUGGGGAAACUCAAGCUAAUACCGCAUACACCUAAGGGUAAAAGGUGGCCUCUUCUUGAAAGCUAUCACUAUAGGAUGAGCCCAUGUAAGAUUAGCUAGUUGGUGGGGUAAAGGCCUACCAAGGCGACGAUCUUUAGCUGGUCUGAGAGGACGAUCAGCCACACUGGGACUGAGACACGGCCCAGACUCCUACGGGAGGCAGCAGUGGGGAAUAUUGGACAAUGGGGGCAACCCUGAUCCAGCAAUACCGCGUGUGUGAAGAAGGCCUGCGGGUUGUAAAGCACUUUUAUCUGUGAGGAAGGGUUUAGUAUUAAUACUGCUAGACAUUGACGUUAACAGAAGAAAAAGCACCGGCUAACUCUGUGCCAGCAGCCGCGGUAAUACAGAGGGUGCAAGCGUUAAUCGGAAUUACUGGGCGUAAAGGGUGCGUAGGCGGCCUUGUAAGUCGGAUGUGAAAGC